UACAGAGGUCUCAAGCGUUGUUCGGAUUCAUUGGGCGUAAAGGGUGCGUAGGUGGCGCGGUAAGUCGGGUGUGAAAUUUCGGAGCUUAACUCCGAAACUGCAUUCGAUACUGCCGUGCUUGAGGACUGGAGAGGAGACUGGAAUUUACGGUGUAGCAGUGAAAUGCGUAGAUAUCGUAAGGAAGACCAGUGGCGAAGGCGGGUCUCUGGACAGUUCCUGACACUGAGGCACGAAGGCCAGGGGAGCGAACGGG
rnacentral:rRNA from 1 species